AACCCGUAGUCAUAGUCGGCCGGUCUUUUUUAGAAAAUGGCGAUGUGAAUUUAUUAGAAUAAAUUGAUUGCGUGUGUUUGUGUGGCUGUUUCGUGCUAAAGGUAACAGCAUGAACUGAUUCCUUCCUGGAAGUGCAUGUGAUCCUUAUGUUUGGCCUGAAAAAAUGGGAAAGUACUGAGUCAAUAGAACCUUCUAAAUAAAAAAAAGUGUUGCAUUUUUUCGUGAAAUAUUGAUCAACAACGAUAGAGAGUAUUCUUUUUAAUGAGAGAGAAAACUAGGUUCUGGGAUUCCCAUAGAGAUGGAAAUUUAACCCCGGAAAUUAUAUGAAACGCACCUACAACAUAAUGCGGUUUCCACAAGAAGUAAGGAG